UACGAAGGGGGCUAGCGUUGCUCGGAAUCACUGGGCGUAAAGGGCGCGUAGGCGGCCAUUCAAGUCAGAGGUGAAAGCCCAAGGCUCAACCUUUGAAUGCCGCUGGAAACUGUCUGGCUAGAGUCCGGAAGGGGCGAGUGGAACUCCUGGUGUAGCGGUGAAAUGCGCAGAUAUCAGGAAGAACACCUAUGGCGAAGGCAGCUCUCUGGGACAAUACUGACGCUAAGGCGCGAAAGCGUGGGGAGCGAACAGG
rnacentral:rRNA from 1 species